AUAUAUGGGUAAAUUAGGUUACCCAUAUAUGGGUGAAAAAAUGUAAGCGUUAUUGUUCGACUCAGCCUCUAUUUGACUGAAAGUUGAAAGCCAUUUGUGGUUCCAAAGAAACAAGUAUCGGUCGACUGGCCCAACAUUAAAAAUAAUCAAAACCACGAACACAGCCGCAUCUUCCGGAGCCCCGGGGCACCAAAUCAACGAUGGAGUGCAUAAGCCAAUCGCCUAGUCAGAAACCGCUGUAUGCCUCUAGCAUGGGACACGAUAAGGCAAAAGCUCGUUUAACUGGUCCUGGAACAUUGAAGGAUUUAAAUAGUUGCCGGGAUACAGAUCGACCCGAACGGUAUGGACAGCCAUCGAAGUCCGCUCCGUUACAGCAAAUGCCUCAAGUGGGAGAGAGAUCACAGGAUCGGCUUCUGCGACUACCACAAAGUAUGAAAUCCAAUUAUUAUCCUAAACAAAAAACAAUCUAAUCUCUUGUGAGCUGAAACUUCCGGACUUCCUGUGAGCUAAAAUAAUAAGUGCAGAAGGAAACCACCGUGUCGGUGUGCAACGUACCCUACCCUUCACAUCAACAGAUACCUACAACCUACGCCCACAUCACCCAAAGAUAUUUUUACCUCAGCAAACGGAUUCGUCGUAUCAAGCAGGAAUUUCCGAAUCGGACACGACGAUUUUCUACAGGUGUCCCCGUCAGCUCCUUCUCUAUCAAAUAUGGUACUACAAAUCCGAACCAGAUGGGUGGAAGCAUUACCGCUGCACCAUUACAGCAUAUUAUUUUAGAUAAAAGAAUUUAAUAUGUAUUUCAAUAAAUUCCAAUGAUUUGCGUAUUGUUGUUUAAA